GUAGGUGAACCUGCGGAAGGAUCAUUACCAAAAGGAUACCUUCGGGUAUACCCCAUCCGUGUCUAUCUACUCUUGUUGCUUUGGCAGGCCGUGGUCUCGACCCUGUGGGCUCUCAGCCUGCACGCGCCUGCCAGAGGACCAAACUCUGAAUUUAGUGAUGUCUGAGUACUAUAUAAUAGUUAAAACUUUCAGCAACGGAUCUCUUGGUUCUG
rnacentral:misc_RNA from 1 species